CCAUGGCCGUGCUGAGCAGAAAUGUCAUGAGCUGGCUGAGACCUGAUGCAGCUGGAGCACAGCCCAGGUGGCAGGAAAGGGGUGCAGGGACAGGCCAGGGUGAUGCUCCAAGGAGGAUGGGAUCCAGAGCCCCCUGGCAGUGCCAGGCAGGAGUUGCCAUUGUGCUUGUUCCUGAUGUUACUGCUGGGUCUGGCUGAGCUGAGGGACAUUAUAAAAUCAUUCCUGUUUGGGACCCUGGUGCCACCCAAACCCUUGGGGCGCCUCCGCCUCAUCCGAGUCACAAAAAGCUGCCUGGAGGUCCCACACUGGCAGUCCCCAACUGUCCCCACGCGUCCCCACCUGUCCCUACCUGCCCCAGGUGCGUCUCCAGGACCCCCCCACGCCCCAGCGGUGCCCGUGC
rnacentral:lncRNA from 1 species